rnacentral:rRNA from 1 species
CCUACGGGUGGCAGCAGUGAGGAAUAUUGGUCAAUGGACGAGAGUCUGAACCAGCCAAGUAGCGUGAAGGAUGACUGCCCUAUGGGUUGUAAACUUCUUUUAUAUGGGAAUAAAAUGUUCCACGUGUGGGAUUUUGUAUGUACCAUAUGAAUAAGGAUCGGCUAACUCCGUGCCAGCAGCCGCGGUAAUACGGAGGAUCCGAGCGUUAUCCGGAUUUAUUGGGUUUAAAGGGAGCGUAGGUGGAUUGUUAAGUCAGUUGUGAAAGUUUGCGGCUCAACCGUAAAAUUGCAGUUGAAACUGGCAGUCUUGAGUACAGUAGAGGUGGGCGGAAUUCGUGGUGUAGCGGUGAAAUGCUUAGAUAUCACUAAGAACUCCGAUUGCGAAGGCAGUUCACUGGACUGCAACUGACACUGAGGCUCGAAAGUGUGGGUAUCAAACAGGAUUAGAUACCCGAGUAGUC